GACGAACGCUGGCGGCGUGCUUAACACAUGCAAGUCGAACGAUGAACCCGGAGCUUGCUCUGGGGGAUUAGUGGCGAACGGGUGAGUAACACGUGAGUAACCUGCCCUGGACUCUGGGAUAAGCGUUGGAAACGACGUCUAAUACCGGAUAGGACCUUGGAUCGCAUGAUCUGGGGUGGAAAGUUUUUUCGGUCUGGGAUGGACUCGCGGCCUAUCAGCUUGUUGGUGAGGUACUGGCUCACCAAGGCGUCGACGGGUAGCCGGCCUGAGAGGGUGACCGGCCACACUGGGGCGGAGACACGGCGGCGACGCCUACGGGAGGAAGCAGUGGGGGAGAAUGCACAAUGAGCGAAAGCAUGAUGCAGCAACGCCGCGUGCGGGAGGACGGCCGUCGGGUUGUAAACCGCUUUUAGUAGGGAAGAAGGGCUUCGGCUUGACGGUACCUGCAGAAAAAGGACCGGCUAACUACGUG
rnacentral:rRNA from 1 species